CCUACGGGUGGCAGCAGUGAGGAAUAUUGGUCAAUGGCCGGAAGGCUGAACCAGCCAAGCCGCGUGAAGGACGAAGGUGCCAAGCAUUGUAAACUUCUUUUGUCAAGGGACAAAAUCAGGCUCGAGAGCCUGACCGAGGGUACUCAAUGAAUAAGCCACGGCUAACUACGUGCCAGCAGCCGCGGUAAUACGUAGGUGGCAAGCGUUAUCCGGAUUUACUGGGUGUAAAGGGCGUGUAGGCGGGACUGCAAGUCAGAUGUGAAACCCAUGGGCUCAACCCAUGGCCUGCAUUUGAAACUGUAGUUCUUGAGUGAUGGAGAGGCAGGCGGAAUUCCGUGUGUAGCGGUGAAAUGCGUAGAUAUACGGAGGAACACCAGUGGCGAAGGCGGCCUGCUGGACAUUAACUGACGCUGAGGCGCGAAAGCGUGGGGAGCAAACAGGAUUAGAUACCCGGGUAGUU
rnacentral:rRNA from 1 species